AUUGAACGCUGGCGGCAGGCCUAGCACUUGCAAGUCGAGCGGAUGAAGGGAGCUUGCUCCUGGAUUCAGCGGCGGACGGGUGAGUAAUGCCUAGGAAUCUGCCUGGUAGUGGGGGAUAACGUCCGGAAACGGGCGCUAAUACCGCAUACGUCCUGAGGGAGAAAGUGGGGGAUCUUCGGACCUCACGCUAUCAGAUGAGCCUAGGUCGGAUUAGCUAGUUGGUGGGGUAAAGGCCUACCAAGGCGACGAUCCGUAACUGGUCUGAGAGGAUGAUCAGUCACACUGGAACUGAGACACGGUCCAGACUCCUACGGGAGGCAGCAGUGGGGAAUAUUGGACAAUGGGCGAAAGCCUGAUCCAGCCAUGCCGCGUGUGUGAAGAAGGUCUUCGGAUUGUAAAGCACUUUAAGUUGGGAGGAAGGGCAGUAAGUUAAUACCUUGCUGUUUUGACGUUACCAACAGAAUAAGCACCGGCUAACUUCGUG
rnacentral:rRNA from 1 species